rnacentral:tRNA from 1 species
GCUGUUAUAGCUCAGUGGUAGAGCACUUCCUUGGUAAGGAAGAGGUCCCGAGUUCAAUCCUCGGUAACAGCU